AGAGUUUGAUCAUGGCUCAGAUUGAACGCUGGCGGCAUGCCUUACACAUGCAAGUCGAGCGGCAGCGCGGGGGCAACCCUGGCGGCGAGCGGCGAACGGGUGAGUAAUGCAUCGGAACGUGUCCUCUUGUGGGGGAUAACCAGUCGAAAGACUGGCUAAUACCGCAUGAGAUCGAAAGAUGAAAGCAGGGGACCGCAAGGCCUUGCGCGAGAGGAGCGGCCGAUGCCGGAUUAGCUAGUUGGUGGGGUAAAAGCCUACCAAGGCGACGAUCCGUAGCUGGUCUGAGAGGACGACCAGCCACACUGGGACUGAGACACGGCCCAGACUCCUACGGGAGGCAGCAGUGGGGAAUUUUGGACAAUGGGGGCAACCCUGAUCCAGCCAUGCCGCGUGUGUGAAGAAGGCCUUCGGGUUGUAAAGCACUUUCGGACGGAACGAAAUCGCGCGAGUUAAUAGUUCGCGUGGAUGACGGUACCGUAAGAAGAAGCACCGGCUAACUACGUGCCAGCAGCCGCGGUAAUACGUAGGGUGCGAGCGUUAAUCGGAAUUACUGGGCGUAAAGUGUGCGCAGGCGGCUUCGCAAGUCGAGUGUGAAAUCCCCGAGCUUAACUUGGGAAUUGCGCUCGAAACUACGGAGCUGGAGUGUGGCAGAGGAAGGUGGAAUUCCACGUAGCGGUGAAAUGCGUAGAGAUGUGGAGGAACACCGAUGGCGAAGGCAGCCUUCUGGGCCAACACUGACGCUCAUGCACGAAAGCGUGGGGAGCAAACAGGAUUAGAUACCCUAGUAGUCC
rnacentral:rRNA from 1 species